CGCAGCGCGGUUCCCUGCUACUGGGAGAAUCAGCCGGGAGGCUGUCAGAAAGCCCACUGCCGUUUUCUUCACUUGAAGGAACGCGGUGGGAACGGACCGACCGUACCACCAAGUGACGAAGCUGACACAAGCCUUCCACUGAACAGCGGCCCUGCAGAAAGUCUGGAGAACCAGACAGAGGUUGAGGAGGCAGCAGAAGGAGGUGACAUCCCAUCUUCCUCCCAUGGCCCCGCUGCGCAAAAG